UACAGAGGUCUCAAGCGUUGUUCGGAUUCAUUGGGCGUAAAGGGCGCGUAGGCUGCGGGGCAAGUCGGGUGUGAAAUCUCAGAGCUUAACUCCGAAACUGCAUUCGAUACUGCGGUGCUUGAGGACUGGAGAGGAGACUGGAAUUCAUGGUGUAGCAGUGAAAUGCGUAGAGAUCAUGAGGAAGACCAGUGGCGAAGGCGGGUCUCUGGACAGUUCCUGACACUGAGACACGAGGGCCAGGGGAGCAAACGGG
rnacentral:rRNA from 1 species